rnacentral:sRNA from 1 species
UAUUCUGCCCCACGGGGAAGGAUGAGAAGCUUCGACUAAGGUUCGACUCGAGCGAAGCGAGAACGUUACCGCAGGCAACGGCCCGAAGGGCGAGGAGCGAUAGCGACGAGUUAUCCUUCCCCACCACCA